GCGGAGAUGGCGGAACUGGCAGACGCGCUAGCUUGAGGUGCUAGUGGGAGAAAUCUCAUGGGGGUUCGAGUCCCCCUCUCCGCACCA
rnacentral:tRNA from 1 species